UCCUGGCUCAGAACGAACGCUGGCGGCGUGGCUAAGACAUGCAAGUCGAACGGACCAUUAAUUUAUUAAUGUUUAGUGGCGAAAGGGUUAGUAAUGAAUAGGUAACGUACCCUGUGCAUCAGGAUAGCGUCAGUUGCUUCGGCAACUUUCCGAAAGGGGCGGUAAUACUGAAUAAUGUCAUCUUACGAUAGUGGGAUGACCAAAGAUUUAUCGGCAUAGGAGCGGCCUAUUUCCUAUCAGCUUGUUGGUGAGGUAAUAGCUCACCAAGGCUAAGACGGGUAGCGGGACUGAGAGGUUGACCCGCAACAUCGGGACUGAGACACUGCCCGGACCUCCACGGAGGGCUGCAGUAACGAAUAUUGCGCAAUGGGCGAAAGCCUGACGCAGCGACGCCGCGUGUAGGAGGAAGUCCCUCGGGAUGUAAACUACUGUCAGGGUAAAGAAAGUUCGCUCCGGCGAAUUGAUCUACCCCAGAGGAAGUCACGGCUAACUUCGUGCCAGCAGCCGCGGUAAGACGAAGGUGGCAAGCGUUGUUCGGUAUCACUGGGCUUAAAGCGUAUGCAGGCGGAAUGGACAGCGUCAUGUGAAAUCCCUCAGCUCAACUGAGGAAUUGCAUGGCGAACUGCCAUUCUUGAGGCAAGUAGGGGUGCAUAGAACUCUUGGUGGAGCGGUGGAAUGCGUAGAUAUCAAGAGGAAUGCCGAUGGAGAAAUCAGUGCACUAGGCUUGUCCUGACGCUCAGAUACGAAAGCGUGGGGAGCGAACGGGAUUAGAUACCCCGGUAGUCCACGCCGUAAACGAUGUCUACUAGGUUGUGGUGGUUCUGACACCGGCACGGCCGAAGCAAAAGUGUUACGUAGACCGNCUGGGGAGUACGGUCGCAAGGCUAA
rnacentral:rRNA from 1 species